GGGACGCUAGUACAGGUGGUGCAUGGCUGUCGUCAGCUCGUGUCGUGAGAUCGUUGGGUUAAUCCCGCAACGAGUCGCAACCCUUACCCUUAGUUGUUUUCCCGAAAGGAUUACCCUCUAAGGGGACUGCCCCGGACAACGGGAGAAGGUGGGGAUGACGUCAAGUCCGCAUGCUCCUUACGUCUAGGGCUACACACGUCCUACAAUGGGGUCGACAGUGGGAUGCAAAGCCGCGAGGUGGAGCCAAUCCCCAAACGGCCUCUCAGUUCGGAUAGUAGUCUGCAACUCGACUCCAUGAAGUUGGAAUCGCUAGUAAUCGCGGAUCAGCAUGCCGCGGUGAAUACGUUCCCGGGCCUU
rnacentral:rRNA from 1 species